GAUUGGGAGGAGCUUUAACAAAAGGCUAUGAAUACGAUUAGAUUGAUAUUAGCCCUCGAUGUGAAGAAUAUCUUGUAGGAGACUUCUCCAAUUGUUCUGUGGAAGAAAUUAGAGAGUUUGUACACAUCAAAGUCAUUUACAAAUUGUUUGUACUUGAAGCAGAAGUUGUACUAAUUCAGAAUGGAUGAAGAUACUGAUGUGAGAGUUCAACUUAAUGUAUUUAAUAAAUUAUUACCUAAUUGGCUAGUGUUGGUGUGAAGAUAAAUGAUAAAGAUAUUU
rnacentral:misc_RNA from 1 species